rnacentral:rRNA from 1 species
UUGAACGCUGGCGGAAUGCUUUACACAUGCAAGUCGAGCGGCAGCGCGGGGGCAACCCUGGCGGCGAGCGGCGAACGGGUGAGUAAUACAUCGGAACGUGUCCUUAAGUGGGGGAUAGCUCGGCGAAAGCCGGAUUAAUACCGCAUAAGCUCUGAGGAGGAAAGCGGGGGCUCCGUAAGGACCUCGCGCUGUUGGAGCGGCCGAUGUCGGAUUAGCUAGUUGGUGGGGUAAAGGCCCACCAAGGGCGACGAUCCGUAGCUGGUCUGAGAGGAUGAUCAGCCACACUGGAACUGAGGCACGGUCCAGACUCCUACGGGAGGCAGCAGUGGGGAAUUUUGGACAA